UACGAAGGGGGGCUAGCGUUGCUCGGAAUCACUGGGCGUAAAGCGUGCGUAGGUGGUUUGUUAAGUCUGUUGUGAAAGCCCCGGGCUCAACCUGGGAAUGGCAAUGGAUACUGGCAAGCUAGAGUGCGGUAGAGGGUAGUGGAAUUCCCGGUGUAGCGGUGAAAUGCGUAGAGAUCGGGAGGAACACCAGUGGCGAAGGCGGCUACCUGGACCAGCACUGACACUGAGGCACGAAAGCUAGGGGAGCAAAGCGGG
rnacentral:rRNA from 1 species